UACGGAGGGUGGAAGCGUUAUCCGGAUUUACUGGGUUUAAAGGGUGUGUAGGCGGGUCUUUAAGUCAGUGGUGAAAUCUCCGAGCUCAACUUGGAAACUGCCAUUGAUACUAUUGAUCUUGAAUCCUGUUGAGGUUGGCGGAAUAAGUCAUGUAGCGGUGAAAUGCAUAGAUAUGUGGAGGAACACCGAUGGCGAAGGCAGCCUUCUGGGCCACCCCUGACGCUCAUGCACGAAAGCGUGGGGAGCAAACAGG
rnacentral:rRNA from 1 species